UUCAGAAUUUUUUUCCACAUGCCGUAACGUAAGUUGUAUAUGAUCGUGGUUAUGGUAAAAAGGGGUUGUGGAUCUAAUCUAUAACGUGAAGGCUAGACCUAGCAAUUAAACAUCUAAAUUUUGAACUCGCACCUUUCAAGCGAUCAUUUGAUAUGAGGAUCAACACGUAGCAGAAGUUCAAUUUCGUCCAAGAUUUGUUUGAAGAAUAUUAAGACUGAGAAGGAUUGAUAAGGAUCUAUGAAACAUGGAGAUUUUUGUUUUUGUUUUUUUCCUAUGAAAUUUGGAUAUAAACACGCACUAAUGUUCUUUUUAGUGUUUACUAGCAUUAUCAUCAUAUGUUGUCGAUAAUUUAUUUUUUUGGCUGAAAUAUAUAAUUUGGUUUUUUCU